CAUGUCUUUUUGAAUAUGAUUUAAAGUCUGAUCUGCUCAAUGAUGAUUAAAUAGCCGCAGUAUUUUGACUGUGCAAAGGUAGCAUAAUAAAUAGUUUCUUGAUUAGGGACUGGUAUGAAUGAUUGGACGAGAAAAUUUCUGUCUCUUAUUAAGGGGUUUUUGAAUUUUAUUUUUAAGUUAGAAGGCUUAAAUAUUUUUAAAAGACGAGAAGACCCUAUAGAGUUUUAUAUUUUUUAUUAAUUAUGUGUUAGGAAUUUUUUUUGUAGGGAAUAUUUGGUUGGGGUGAUUGGAGGAUUUAUUAAAUUCUUUUAUUGUUUAUAUUGAUGAUUUUUAAAUUUUUUUAUCUAGAUUUUUUAAAUUUAAAAUUAAUUACCUUAGGGAUAACAGCGUAAUUUUUCUUUAAAGCUCAAAUUAAAAGAAGAGUUUGCGACCUCGAUGUUGGAUUAAAAUUAAUUUUUGGUGCAGUAACUUAAGAAUUAGGUCUGUUCGACCUUUAAAAUUUUACAUGAUCUGAGUUUAGACCGGUGUAAGCCAGGUUGGAUUCUAUCUUUAAUUAAAUUAUGUAUUUUAGUACGAAAGGACCAUAUAUAUAUUAUAUAAUAAUUA
rnacentral:rRNA from 1 species